AUUAACUUGGCAGAUUAGUGCGUUGGAUUUAGGAUCCUUUAAUAUGAUUAUUUUCAUAGUUAAUA
rnacentral:tRNA from 1 species